rnacentral:lncRNA from 1 species
GGAAGCCGAAGCCACACCUCCCGCAUGGCCCCUCCGGCCAGCCGGGCCCCUCAGAUGAGAGCUGCACCCAGGCCAGCACCAGUCGCUCAGCCACCAGCAGCGGCACCGCCAUCUACAGUUGGCUCUUCUGCUGCUGCGCCCCGGCAGCCAGGUCUGAUGGCCCAGAUGGCAACCACUGCAGCUGGCGUGGCUGUGGGCUCUGCUGUGGGGCACAUACUGGGUCAUGCCAUUACUGGGGGCUUCAGUGGAGGAAGUAAUGCUGAGCCUGCGAGGCCUGACAUCACUUACCAGGAGCCUCAGGGAACCCAGCCGGCACAGCAGCAGCAGCCUUGCUUCUGUGAGAUCAAACAGUUUCUGGAGUGUGCCGAGAACCAGGGUGACAUCAAGCUCUGUGAGGGUUUCAAUGAGGUGCUGAAACAGUGCCGACUUGCAAACGGAUUGGCCUAA